rnacentral:rRNA from 1 species
AGGGAUGAAGGCCUUCGGGUUGUAAACCUCUUUCAGUAGGGAAGAAGCGACUGGGUUCUCUCAGACGUGACGGUACCUGCAGAAGAAGCGCCGGCUAACUACGUGCCAGCAGCCGCGGUAAUACGUAGGGCGCAAGCGUUGUCCGGAAUUAUUGGGCGUAAAGAGCUCGUAGGCGGUUUGUCGCGUCUGGUGUGAAAACUCAAGGCUCAACCUUGAGCUUGCAUCGGGUACGGGCAGACUAGAGUGUGGUAGGGGUGACUGGAAUUCCUGGUGUAGCGGUGGAAUGCGCAGAUAUCAGGAGGAANNNNNAUGGCGAAGGCAGGUCACNNNNNNNNNUACUGGCGCUGAGGAGCGAAAGCAUGGGGAGCGAACAGGAUUAGAUACCCUGGUAGUCCAUGCCGUAAACGUUGGGCACUAGGUGUGGGGCUCAUUCCACGAGUUCCGCGCCGCAGCUAACGCAUUAAGUGCCCCGCCUGAGGAGUACGGCCGCAAGGCUAAAACUCAAAGGAAUUGACGGGGGCCCGCACAAGCGGCGGAGCAUGCGGAUUAAUUCGAUGCAACGCGAACAACCUUACCAAGGCUUGACAUACACCGGAAUCGGCCAAAAAUGGUCGCGUCUUCGGACUGGUGUACAGGUGGUGCAUGGUUGUCGUCAGCUCGUGUCGUGAGAUGUUGGGUUAAGUCCCGCAACGAGCGCAACCCUCGUCCUAUGUUGCCAGCGGGUCAUGCCGGGGACUCAUAGGAGACUGCCGGGGUCAACUCGGAGGAAGGCGGNACGACGA